GUUUCCAUGCCCCUUCCCAUUCUUUGCCCUUUUCUGAGCCUCCUGAUCCCAUUAUCCCUCCUUUCUAUUCUUUACUUCUUCCCCCUUCUGCCUAAUCUUAUCUUCUUAUCUCCCCGACUGGCCGCCAAACUGUCAACCUGAAAGUUUAUAUUGUUUCCACCGUAAUCCCAAAACCUUAAACUUUUGUCUUUCCAGGAACGGUAAUGGGAGGAGAGAGAGAGCAGGGAUUGGGGGACACUGCCCCCCCAAAGUUUCUGUGGCUGCGCUUAGCACCCCAACCAUCCUCCUUUGUCCUCAGUGGAUCUAAAGUUUGAUACCCCAGGAGGGGAGCGCUGCCGCGUCUGCACGCUUUGCUGGUUAAUCAAUGUCCAGGCAAGAGAGAGCCUCUCGGGUCGCCAGAAAGAUAACUGUCUUGGAAAGUGAACGGGAAAGACACUUGGAAUGAGAUAUCUGACACCUGGGUGCCUCUUUGUCUUUGCAGGAAGUGGUUACCUGGAAGGAAAGGAGCUGCAGAACUUGAUCCAGGAGCUCCAGCAGGCGCGAAAGAAGGCUGGAUUGGAGUUAUCACCUGAAAUGAAAACUUUUGUGGAUCAGUAUGGGCAAAGAGAUGAUGGAAAAAUAGGAAUUGUAGAGGUAAGGAAUUUAUGCAUUUUUCUGAUUUAAUUUUAAUAAAUGAAUUUCAAUUUUGAAGUUGU
rnacentral:sRNA from 1 species